rnacentral:rRNA from 1 species
UACAGAGGGUGCGAGCGUUACUCGGAAUUACUGGGCGUAAAGCGUGCGUAGGCGGCUAUCUAAGUCGGGUGUGAAAGCCCCGGGCUCAACCUGGGAAUUGCAUUCGAGACUGAGUAGCUAGGGUACGGUAGAGGGAAGUGGAAUUUCCGGUGUAGCGGUGAAAUGCGUAGAUAUCGGAAGGAACAUCAGUGGCGAAAGCGACUUCCUGGACCAGUACCGACGUUCAGGCACGAAAGCGUGGGGAGCAAACAGG